GACGAACGCUGGCGGCGUGCUUAACACAUGCAAGUCGAACGGAAAGGCCCUGCUUUUGUGGGGUGCUCGAGUGGCGAACGGGUGAGUAACACGUGAGUAACCUGCCCUUGACUUUGGGAUAACUUCAGGAAACUGGGGCUAAUACCGGAUAGGAGCUCCUGCUGCAUGGUGGGGGUUGGAAAGUUUCGGCGGUUGGGGAUGGACUCGCGGCUUAUCAGCUUGUUGGUGGGGUAGUGGCUUACCAAGGCUUUGACGGGUAGCCGGCCUGAGAGGGUGACCGGCCACAUUGGGACUGAGAUACGGCCCAGACUCCUACGGGAGGCAGCAGUGGGGAAUAUUGCACCAUGGGCGGAAGCCUGAUGCAGCAACGCCGCGGGCGGGAUGACGGCCUUCGGGUUGUAAACCGCUUUCGCCUGUGACGAAGCGUGAGUGACGGUAAUGGGUAAAGAAGCACCGGCUACCUACGUG
rnacentral:rRNA from 1 species